rnacentral:rRNA from 1 species
AACGGCCAUGCCAUGCUGAAUAUAUCGGUUCUCGUUAGAUCACCGAAGUCAAGCAUCAUUGGUCAGUACUUGGGUGAGUGACCACCUGGGAACACCGCGUGCCGUUG